rnacentral:rRNA from 1 species
GACGUAGGGCGCGAGCGUUGUCCGGAUUUAUUGGGCGUAAAGAGCUCGUAGGCGGUGUGUCGCGUCGGCCGUGAAAACCUGCAGCUUAACUGUGGGCUUGCGGUCGAUACGGGCAUCACUGGAGUUCGGCAGGGGAGACUGGAAUUCCUGGUGUAGCGGUGAAAUGCGCAGAUAUCAGGAGGAACACCGGUGGCGAAGGCGGAUCUCUGGGCCUUACCUGACGCUGAGGCGCGAAAGCUAGGGGAGCAAACAGG